rnacentral:rRNA from 1 species
UACGUAGGGUGCGAGCGUUAAUCGGAAUUACUGGGCGUAAAGCGUGCGCAGGCGGUUGUGCAAGACAGGUGUGAAAUCCCCGGGCUUAACCUGGGAAUGGCAUUUGUGACUGCACAGCUAGAGUGUGUCAGAGGGGGGUAGAAUUCCACGUGUAGCAGUGAAAUGCGUAGAUAUGUGGAGGAAUACCGAUGGCGAAGGCAGCCCCCUGGGAUAACACUGACGCUCAUGCACGAAAGCGUGGGGAGCAAACAGG